UUCCUUAUCGGCAAAACGGUUUCAG
rnacentral:piRNA from 2 species